AGUGAAGACGCAGACGAAGAUAAAGAGACACGCAGAUAUAGAAAGGAGGAGAGAACAUAAAAACUGAAGGAGGUGAAAACGAGAAAGAUGAACUAAUACGAGUCUCUACCUGUGAAAUAGACGAAUGCAGGUGAUGGAAAGUGAAUGACAGGUGCAGUGUUAAGACGCAGACGAAGAUAAAGAGACACACGGACGUAGAAAGGAGAGAACAUAAAAACUGAAAAUGAAAACGAAAAAGAUGAACUAGUACAAGUCUCUACCUGUGAAAUAGACGAAUGCAGGUGAUGGAUGAUUAUAAUGAAUGACAGGUGCAGUGUGAAGAAGCAGACGAAGAUAUUAAAAGACACGCGGAUAUAGGAAGAAGAGAACAUGAAUACUAAAGGAAAUGAAAACGAAAAAGAUGAACUAGUACGAGUCUCUACCUGUGAUUUAACGAAUGCAGGUGAUGGAUAGUGAAUGACAGGUGCAGAAUGAAGAUGCAGAUGAAAAUAUUAAAAGACGUGAAUGUAGAAAGAAAAACGAGAAUACUAAAGAUGAUUAAAACGAAAAGGGUGAACCAGUACAUGACUAUACCACUGAUUAAAAUGAUGCAGGCAAUUGAUAAGGAAUGACCGCUGCAGAUGGAAGACAGAGACAUAGAUAAGAAAAUACUGAAUAGAGAAAAAAUAGAACAUGAAUAUUGAGCAAGACCAAAAAGACUAACCAGUUCAACCAGUCAAAUAGAUGAAUGCAAGUGGCCGAUAAGGGUUGACAGCUGAAGGAAGUGGACCCAAGGAGAAAGAAAAGUGAAAACAUGCAAAUAUAGACAGUCUUAUUUAGCAUUUGGCACGCCAUGAACACAAGGAGACAUUUGUAGUUACUGAAUGGACGAACUGAAACAAACACAGAUUACCCAUUUUAUGUUUUGAAGAAUAAGGAAAAAGUUGAUCAAUAAAGACAGCAAUGUGAGAGAGAGAGAGAGAGGAGGCAGAUAACAGACACAUGGAAACGAGAUAAGGCCAGCUGUUAUAUUUGCUUUGACGUAUUGUGUUAUUGAGGUUUGAUAAGGACGAGAAACGGGAAGAUAUGAAAAGGAGAGAUAUUAACAUGAAAACGGUCACGUAACUAUCAGAAACACGAGAAAAGGGAAAAAUUGAGAGUUUCUGUACCUAUAAUGUAUCGAUUGGGUGUUAUUAUAGAGGUUUGAUAAGGGAGAGGACCAAGAAGAGAAAAAAUUGAGAGAUAUAUACAUGAAAACAGUGUCACCUAUCAGAAACACAGAAAAAGGAGAGGUAGAGUUAGUUUCAAUAGCCUAACGUGCCAUUGGGUGUUAUUAUAGAGGUUUGGUAAGAACGUGGAACAAGAAAUAAAAAAAGGAAAGAUAUUAACAUGAAAACAGGGUCAUUUAACUAUCAGAAACAUGGGAAAGAAGAUGACUGAGUUUCUGUAGCUGUAACAUGUCAUUGAGUUAUAUAUUUAGAGGUUUGGUAAGGACGAGGAACAAGGAAAGGAAAAAAGUAUAUUAACACGAAAACAGUCACGUUACAUCAGAAACAGAAAGAACAGGAACGAUUAAGCGAGUUUCUGUAUCUGUAAAGUGUCAUUAAGUUAUAUAUUUAGAGGUUUGGUAAGGACGAGGAACAAGGAAAGGAAAAAGAAGUAUAUUAACACGAAAACAGGGUCACAUAACAUCAGAAACACACAAAAAAGGAAAUAUUAAGUGAAAAAGAAGAUAUUGGCCGAGUUUCUGUAGCUAUAACAUGUCAUUGAGUUAUAUAUUUAGAGGUUAGGUAAGGACGAGGAACAAGGAAAGGAAAAAGAAGUAUAUUAACACGAAAACAGGG